rnacentral:ncRNA from 1 species
AAUCUAUGAUGUGCUUGCUUUGUCAGAGAAGUGAAGUGCGGAGAUUUUACCAACGGUUUAUGUAUUCAGCCGUUUCUGACUAGAAGUUUUUAACUUUGAACAAAAAAUACAUUUA